AAAUUGAAGAGUUUGAUCAUGGCUCAGAUUGAACGCUGGCGGCAGGCCUAACACAUGCAAGUCGAACGGUAACAGGAAGCAGCUUGCUGCUUUGCUGACGAGUGGCGGACGGGUGAGUAAUGUCUGGGAAACUGCCUGAUGGAGGGGGAUAACUACUGGAAACGGUAGCUAAUACCGCAUAACGUCGCAAGACCAAAGAGGGGGACCUUCGGGCCUCUUGCCAUCGGAUGUGCCCAGAUGGGAUUAGCUAGUAGGUGGGGUAACGGCUCACCUAGGCGACGAUCCCUAGCUGGUCUGAGAGGAUGACCAGCCACACUGGAACUGAGACACGGUCCAGACUCCUACGGGAGGCAGCAGUGGGGAAUAUUGCACAAUGGGCGCAAGCCUGAUGCAGCCAUGCCGCGUGUAUGAAGAAGGCCUUCGGGUUGUAAAGUACUUUCAGCGGGGAGGAAGGGAGUAAAGUUAAUACCUUUGCUCAUUGACGUUACCCGCAGAAGAAGCACCGGCUAACUCCGUGCCAGCAGCCGCGGUAAUACGGAGGGUGCAAGCGUUAAUCGGAAUUACUGGGCGUAAAGCGCACGCAGGCGGUUUGUUAAGUCAGAUGUGAAAUCCCCGGGCUCAACCUGGGAACUGCAUCUGAUACUGGCAAGCUUGAGUCUCGUAGAGGGGGGUAGAAUUCCAGGUGUAGCGGUGAAAUGCGUAGAGAUCUGGAGGAAUACCGGUGGCGAAGGCGGCCCCCUGGACGAAGACUGACGCUCAGGUGCGAAAGCGUGGGGAGCAAACAGGAUUAGAUACCCUGGUAGUCCACGCCGUAAACGAUGUCGACUUGGAGGUUGUGCCCUUGAGGCGUGGCUUCCGGAGCUAACGCGUUAAGUCGACCGCCUGGGGAGUACGGCCGCAAGGUUAAAACUCAAAUGAAUUGACGGGGGCCCGCACAAGCGGUGGAGCAUGUGGUUUAAUUCGAUGCAACGCGAAGAACCUUACCUGGUCUUGACAUCCACGGAAGUUUUCAGAGAUGAGAAUGUGCCUUCGGGAACUGUGAGACAGGUGCUGCAUGGCUGUCGUCAGCUCGUGUUGUGAAAUGUUGGGUUAAGUCCCGCAACGAGCGCAACCCUUAUCCUUUGUUGCCAGCGGUCCGGCCGGGAACUCAAAGGAGACUGCCAGUGAUAAACUGGAGGAAGGUGGGGAUGACGUCAAGUCAUCAUGGCCCUUACGACCAGGGCUACACACGUGCUACAAUGGCGCAUACAAAGAGAAGCGACCUCGCGAGAGCAAGCGGACCUCAUAAAGUGCGUCGUAGUCCGGAUUGGAGUCUGCAACUCGACUCCAUGAAGUCGGAAUCGCUAGUAAUCGUGGAUCAGAAUGCCACGGUGAAUACGUUCCCGGGCCUUGUACACACCGCCCGUCACACCAUGGGAGUGGGUUGCAAAAGAAGUAGGUAGCUUAACCUUCGGGAGGGCGCUUACCACUUUGUGAUUCAUGACUGGGGUGAAGUCGUAACAAGGUAACCGUAGGGGAACCUGCGGUUGGAUCACCUCCUUACCUUAAAGAA
rnacentral:rRNA from 1 species